rnacentral:rRNA from 1 species
GAUGAACGCCGGCGGCGUGCCUAAUACAUGCAAGUCGAGCGAACAGAUGAGGAGCUUGCUCCUCUGACGUUAGCGGCGGACGGGUGAGUAACACAUGGAUAACCUACCUAUAAGACUGGGAUAACUUCGGGAAACCGGAGCUAAUACCGGAUAAUAUAUUGAACCGCAUGGUUCAAUAGUGAAAGACGGUUUUGCUGUCACUUAUAGAUGGAUCCGCGCCGCAUUAGCUAGUUGGUAAGGUAACGGCUUACCAAGGCAACGAUGCGUAGCCGACCUGAGAGGGUGAUCGGCCACACUGGAACUGAGACACGGUCCAGACUCCUACGGGAGGCAGCAGUAGGGAAUCUUCCGCAAUGGGCGAAAGCCUGACGGAGCAACGCCGCGUGAGUGAUGAAGGUCUUCGGAUCGUAAAACUCUGUUAUUAGGGAAGAACAAAUGUGUAAGUAACUAUGCACGUCUUGACGGUACCUAAUCAGAAAGCCACGGCUAACUACGUG